UAGCGGUCGCCUCUCUAUUUGACAUGCUC
rnacentral:piRNA from 1 species